AAUGCAUUGCUUCAUUCUAGGUCAGGCUGCCUGCAGAUAUAGCCCCUUUCCUCUGCUGCCUUAUUGCCGGUUCCAUUAAAUAAGUAUAUGACAAGAGCUUACUAAUACUGUAUGUAGUGUAGUCAACCUCCAUUAGUGAUAAUGAAAGUCAUCCUACACAAGAUCCCUCCUCUCUCUUGUCUCCCUCACACCAGCCACAAAAGUUUUCAAAGGUAAGUGCAUUUAUGUUUCAUUAUAUUUUAUAUUUUCUUUAUUGUUUUGUAUCACAUUACAGUAUCAUAAUGAUUUUUGUAUGAAUAUUUUUGGAUUGUGGGACAAAUCAUCUGAGGUUCCAUUAUUUCUUAUGGGGACGUUGGCUCUGAUAUAAAGUGCUUUGGAUCACAAGAUGUUUCUGGAACAAAUUAUGCUUGCAAACUGAGGCUUUUACUGUAUUUAGUUUUUUGUAUAUUUAAAGUAGCAUUGGUCAUAGUUUGUAUCUUAUACAAUUAAUUUCACUGCUCUGUUUAUGAGAGCUUUUAUAGUAUGUUAGAGCCAGUUUGGACUUCCAUCCCCAACCAAGUUGGAAGUUGGUAGGACACAAGAGGUUUUGCUCAGACCCAAAUGCCGCUUGAAAAAAAGGAGAAAUAUAAGCCCUUUCUAAUCUGUCUGGGAGCACAAAUGAUUUAUAGAUAUGACAUUUAACCACAAUCCCUUUGAUAUCAUUUGAGUUCAGUAAGGAACAAUUUCUUGAUGUUGUUUGUUUGAACAGAAAUAGCAAACUUGUGCAAAUGUUGGGCAAAGAUUUCUUCUAGGAACUCUGAAAAAGAUGAUUAUGUCAGAUAUAUUUGGACACAAUAAAUGACAGCAUGUUAUUUCCAUCUUUUUGUUUCCCCGUACAAAGGGGCAAAUUCAGCAUAUGAUGAGUGUUGGGGCUUCAGGACAAUACAAGGAAAUUUGGCUGUGAAGAAUUCGUUUGGAUGUUAAUUUUCAUGGACAAUUGACAGACACUAAUGCUGGAAGCCGAGCCAUCCCAGCCUGAGUGGCAAAGCCUGGGCUGUGGACGGAUUGGUGACUGCAAGGCAGCCAACCGACACUGAAGCUUCUUGUACUCCUGCUUUUAGAGGAAGGGUUUGGAGCUGCACGGACAAAUAGAGGAAAGACGGUCAUGGGACAAGAGAGGCAGACACUGAGGCAAUAUGGUUCUGCUGCUGAGAACACCAAGGAUUCCCAACAACCACCAGAAAGAAGCCAGAAGAGGCAAAGAAAGAUUCUCUCCUAGAUCCUACCUGUUGGCACCUUGAUUUGGGACUUCUAGCCUUCAGAACUGUGAAAGAAUACAUUUCUGUUAUUUAAGCCA